rnacentral:lncRNA from 1 species
CACCUCCUCCCACCCACCGCCGCCGGCGGCGCCAUGGAGGUCGGCGGCGAGGAGUUCGCGGUCGGCGUGGUGAUCUUCGCGAAGACCACCCUCGGGGAGGAGUUCGAGGGCUAGAUCGUCUCCUUCGACCGCCCGAGCAACCUCAUCGUCAUCCAUAUCCUUCCCUAAUCCAACCUUUGCUCCCCGCCCCCGUCUCCAUGCCGUUUACUUCUGCCUCCUGCUCUAUUUCUGUG